rnacentral:lncRNA from 1 species
AGGUAGAGAUUGUUGUGAAGGGAACAUGGUCACCAGUAUUAAAAUGCCACAAAAAAAGCACUGAAAAAAAGUAAUUGUUGACCUUGCUGAGGAGCAUUUCAAUGGAGUAGCUGUGGGAGAAAGCUCAUUACAGACAAGGACAUGGAGAACGCUGGCAAGCAUGAUGGACAAGAAAGAAAGAAGUGAAGAUGAAAGGGAAUGAAUAGGAGUCCUAUAAGGGGAGGGAGGAGAACCUGGACAA